rnacentral:rRNA from 1 species
GGCUCAGGAUGAACGCUAGCGGUAGGCUUAACACAUGCAAGUCGAGGGGUAUAGUUCUUCGGAAUUAGAGACCGGCGCACGGGUGCGUAACGCGUAUGCAAUCUACCUUUCACAGAGGGAUAGCCCAGAGAAAUUUGGAUUAAUACCUCAUAGUAUAGCAGUUUCGCAUGAAACCACUAUUAAAGUUCCAACGGUGAAAGAUGAGCAUGCGUCCCAUUAGCUAGAUGGUAAGGUAACGGCUUACCAUGGCUACGAUGGGUAGGGGUCCUGAGAGGGAGAUCCCCCCACACUGGUACUGAGACACGGACCAGACUCCUACGGGAGGCAGCAGUGAGGAAUAUUGGUCAAUGGACGCAAGUCUGAACCAGCCAUGCCGCGUGCAGGAUGACGGUCCUAUGGAUUGUAAACUGCUUUUGUACGAGAAGAAACAACAUUACGUGUAAUGUCUUGACGGUAUCGUAAGAAUAAGGAUCGGCUAACUCCGUG